AUUGAACGCUGGCGGCAUGCCUUACACAUGCAAGUCGAACGGUAACAGGUCUUCGGAUGCUGACGAGUGGCGAACGGGUGAGUAAUACAUCGGAACGUGCCCGAUCGUGGGGGAUAACGAGGCGAAAGCUUUGCUAAUACCGCAUACGAUCUACGGAUGAAAGCGGGGGAUCUUCGGACCUCGUGCGGACGGAGCGGCCGAUGGCAGAUUAGGUAGUUGGUGGGAUAAAAGCUUACCAAGCCGACGAUCUGUAGCUGGUCUGAGAGGAUGAUCAGCCACACUGGGACUGAGACACGGCCCAGACUCCUACGGGAGGCAGCAGUGGGGAAUUUUGGACAAUGGGCGAAAGCCUGAUCCAGCCAUGCCGCGUGCAGGAUGAAGGCCUUCGGGUUGUAAACUGCUUUUGUACGGAACGAAAAGCCUCUUUCUAAUAAAGAGGGGUCAUGACGGUACCGUAAGAAUAAGCACCGGCUAACUACGUG
rnacentral:rRNA from 1 species